AUGAGGAGCUGGGCUAAUCGCCCCCACUCAUCCCUUCUCGCCUCUUUCCUCGCGGCCUCUUGGCUUCUCGUGGCCGCAUCGCCUCAGGAAUUGCAUGAAGCAUCUGGAUCCAGGAUUCUUCAUCACACAAAGUCACACACACAUGAGGUGCAUUGUUCAAGGGAACGGAGCCGUGCAGCUUGGAAAGCUGUUGAUGAGUACUUGAUGCCCUUUGUGGAAAAGGAGAAAUAUGAACUCCCAAGCAAGUGUAGGCUUCGUCCUGAAAACGACAUGUUUCGGGAACAAGAGCAACAUAAGAUCCAUUUUGAUGUGAACGAGUGGCGUUGUGGCUUCUGCAAGAAAUCCUUUCGAGCAGAAAAAUUUAUCGAUCAGCAUUUUGCAAACCGGCACAGUAAUCUGUUGGAUAAUAGUCAAGGAAGGUGCUUGGCAGAUCUUUGUGGAGCACUUCACUGUGAUCUGACAAUGGAGUUCAAGAAACCAAAGAGUAAAUGCAAUGCUGCUGCAGCUGCAAGGAACCGUCAUCUUUGUGAGAGCCUUGCAGACAGUUGCUUUCCUGUUAAUCAAGGGCAUUCUGCCAGCCGUCUUCAUGAAUUUUUCUUGCGCCAAUUCUGUGAUGCUCACACUUGCAAUGGGGCCUCCAAACCUUUCCCCAAAGGUGGCAGGAAACAAACAAACAGAUUCUACCUGGCUCUCUGCAUCUUGACGAUGCUGCUUUUGCCUGUGUUCUAUCUCAUAGUAUUUUUACACCAGAGGGAAAUGAAGAAAGGAGAUCAAGUUUUCAAACGAAUUGGAAAAACCGUGCACAAGAAAAAGCCGUCCUAG
rnacentral:rRNA from 1 species